UACGUAGGGUGCAAGCGUUAAUCGGAAUUACUGGGCGUAAAGCGUGCGCAGGCGGCUAUGCAAGACAGAUGUGAAAUCCCCGGGCUCAACCUGGGAACUGCAUUUGUGACUGCAUAGCGUAGAGUACGGUAGAGGGGGAUGGAAUUCCGCGUGUAGCAGUGAAAUGCGUAGAUAUGCGGAGGAACACCGAUGGCGAAGGCAAUCCCCUGGACCUGUACUGACGCUCAUGCACCGAAAAGCGUGGGGGAGCAAACAGG
rnacentral:rRNA from 1 species